UUAAGUUCAGCGGGUAGUCCUACCUGAUUCGAGGUCAACCUAAAAAAAGUUGGGGUUUUACGGCGUGGCCGCUCUGAGCUUUCCGGUGCGAGAACAAGUUACUACGCAGAGGUCGCCUCGGAGGCCGCCACUAAAUUUCGGGGGCGGCGUCCCCGGCGAGAUGCCGGGGGGAGUCUGCCGUCCCCCAACGCCGAGCCGUC
rnacentral:misc_RNA from 1 species